rnacentral:rRNA from 1 species
GGGGAAUUUUGCACAAUGGGCGGAAGCCUGAUGCAGCGACGCCGCGUGAGGGAUGGAGGCCUUCGGGUUGUGAACCUCUUUCGCUCGUGACCAAGCCAUGCGUGUGCGUGUGGUGAGGGUAGUGGGUAAAGAAGCUCCGGCUAACUACGUGCCAGCAGCCGCGGUAAUACGUAGGGAGCGAGCGUUGUCCGGAUUUAUUGGGCGUAAAGGGCUUGUAGGCGGUUUGUUGCGUCUGCCGUGAAAUUCCCUGGCUUAACUGGGGGCGUGCGGUGGGUACGGGCAGGCUUGAGUGCGGUAGGGGAGACUGGAAUUCCUGGUGUAGCGGUGGAAUGCGCAGAUAUCAGGAGGAACACCGGUGGCGAAGGCGGGUCUCUGGGCCGUUACUGACGCUGAGGAGCGAAAGCGUGGGGAGCGAACA